rnacentral:rRNA from 1 species
GACAGAGGUGCCGAGCGUUAGGCGGAAUCACUGGGCUUAAAGCGUGUGUAGGCGGGCGGACAAGUACCUUGUGAAAUCCCACGGCUCAACCGUGGAACUGCUGGGUAUACUGUUUGUCUUGAGCCAACUAGGGGCGAGCGGAACAAGUGGUGGAGCGGUGAAAUGCGUAGAUAUCACUUGGAACGCCAAAGGUGAAAACAGCUCGCUGGGGUUGUGCUGACGCUGAGACACGAAAGCCAGGGGAGCGAACGGG